rnacentral:misc_RNA from 1 species
UUUCACAGGCUGAGAAACAGGAAACAAUUUGAGAAAUUAAUAUUUUAUAAAUUAUCAUUCCAGUAAUUUGAUGCUUAGAAGUGCAUGACAAAUUUACUCUUAAUAGUGGCCAAAGACACAUUACAUCUGGAACUGGAAUUAUAGGUCAAAAGAAAAUGCUAAAAAGAAUAACCACUACUCAGAUGAAACAAAUCUGAAAAUUCAGUCCAAUGAACCAAACGAAAAUUUUUCAAAAGACUAUAAUUCUGCAUGAAACUGAAAUUUUGAAAAGACAGCCCAAUUCCUAUGGGCACUGUAUUAUUACUAAAACAAUAUUCUAUUUUUCCCAAGUAUAAAAUUAACAACAGAGAGGGUAGGGGUAGUAAAUUCAGCACCACAAUUGAAUUCAAGUUCAAGGCAAAAAGGGUCAAAAGGGCUGCACCUGAACAUUGCUUUCUUGCAUCAG